AGCACCACUACAGGCACUGAGAGGACAUAACAUCAGAGAGCGGCUCCUCUGCCCUCCAAAACAACAACUUUCCUACCAUCUUGGAGAACAGCUGAGAUAUUGAUGUGGGAUAGUUUGGUGUAACUGUACCAUUGCGUCUUUCUCUCUGAAGGCAUUGCAAGUAAAAUGGAACGUACAGGCAGGAGGGUGCAGGAGGAAGCAAGAUGAAAGUUACUGGACCACAACUGGCGAUACAACCAAUGAGAAAUUCUGCCCGAUGGCCGCCAGGUGGUACUAGGGCUGCAUUUGGGGAAAUAAAUCUUCAGUUCUGGUCUUAGCUUUAAAAUAAAGUACAAUAAACCCCUGCCCGUGCCCCAACAGAGUCUGGAUAAAGGCACCCACCAACAUUGCAUUUGGAGGUGAGCUGCAUCAGCAGAACUGACCGUUCAGGGAAUGUAUCAGGCUACUAAGCCCUUUAACAGCCAAGAACACCACUUUGAGCACGUUCAUCUCCCAUCAUCCCCGCUCUUCAUUGCCGCCUUCUCAAAAUGCUCUGCUCUAAUCUGAGGUUGCCGCUUCAGAACCAGCAAGUACUAGUGCUAACUGUAAACUUUUUAAAUAAAUAGAACCAAAUUGCAUGAAUAGCCCUGUCUCUAAUUUCUGUUCUGAUACUUUGCCCAGCCAACAUCCCCUCCCUUCCUUUGCAGACCCCCACUAUCCUUUUAUUGCUAGCCGGUCAAAAGUCCGCAUGUGCACUGACUGUCCAGCCACCAGAGCAAACAGCAGAGAUAAGGGAGGGGCUAGAUUGUAAAAGUCAGUUGAUAAGAAUGCUAAUUUAGAGUUCUCUUUACUAUCAGUCAAAUC